CGCCAGGCCCGACGGCAGCCGCCUGAGCCGGCCGGAAAGCGCGAAAACGCGGGCUCUCGCAGCGCCCCCGGCCCAUCCACCCCCUCGUCCCCCGCGGGCCCGGACGCCUCAGCUUCACCGCCCUCCCCCGCGCCGCCGCCCAAGCCCCCGCUGACUCUGACUUGGCUUCUCAGUUCGCCGGUUGGGGCAGCGACCAACGGCCUUCCCACCGCGCCUGCUCAGCGCGCCGGAAGCGCUCCCCCGCUAGGGAAGGCGGCGUAGGUGCGCGAGGGUUGUUCCCAUUUUGUGGACUCCCAGUUCUGUGACCCUGUGCCCAUACAGCAAUCCCCCGGACUGCAGGCAUCCUGUAAGUUGAAACUGAGGCUCCGAGAGGAUAAGUGACUUACCCAAGGUCACAAGCGUGAGAUGAUAACUGAACCACAUCUCCUGACUCCAGAGUCCAGCUGUUUCCCACCUUCCUGUACUGCCUGCUAGACUCUACAUUUCAGCAUCAGGCCAGGCUCGUUCCUGCAGCUGCCACUUCACAAGACUAUGGAGUCUGUUGGGAAUUCCCAACUCCCUGCUCAGGGCCUGCCUGCUUGUCACCGCUUCCUGCCUUGCCCUGCUGGCCACCUGCCCACCCACCAUUGUCUGCCGGCCCACCUGGUCCACGAAGCUGAUGGCAUCCCGGAUGUUGAGUCUGUAGUACACAUCCCAAAUCUGGUCCCGGAUGCGGUAGGCUGACCGCCGCAUCAACAGCUGACUCAGGUACUUCUUAUCAAACUGCUCCCACCUACAGAGGAUGCCAGGCCCGGUCCUGAGUGCCAUCCCCAAGGCCUGGGCGGCUGGCCCUUCCUCAGACAGGGCAGGGGCACCGCCAGCGCUGGGCCUAUGUCUCUUGGUGUGGGCAUCAGUCAGGGAGAAUCUUGAAGCUGGUCCCUGCCCUUAUGGAACUGACAGUGUUGUAGGAAAGCCUGACAUUAAUGAAGUUAUUACAUAUAACUGUAAAAUUACAACCAUGGUAAGAACUAUAAAGGAUAAUUAUAGAGUAUGAUAGGGAUUUGUCCUAGUCAGGGAGGCCAGGGAAACCUCCCUAAGGACUUGAUGCCUGUGGUAAGAUCUGAAGGAUGAAUAGAGGUUAAGUAGGUGAGAGGGAGGCAAAGGAAUGUUCUAGUAGAAAGAACAACAUGUGCACAGGUCCCAGUGGCCAGGGCCGGGGGAGCAUGGUGGGUUCUGAGUUUCUAAAACAGGGUUCAUUUCAUUGGCAGACAGAUAGUCAAAGACACAGCUGAGCACAAUGCGGCUGGUGUCUGGAGGUGCCAGACCAUGCAGGGCAGAGCUGCGCAGGCCUCACUGGGGAGCCUUGUCUUAUCCUGAGAGUACUGGGACACCAGUACUGCCAGUACUGCCCGAAGGGCUUCAGGAAGAAGUUGCCCAGCCUGAGCCUGACUGUGUCCCUCCUCAGAAGUGUGCACAUCCCCCAUGCUGCCCUGGCUGGUGAGGCUGCCGCUGCUGAAGGAGCCUCGGAGCAGCUCCCUCACCUGUCCCU